UGAAGCGGAUCUUGUGACGUACGUAAAAUCUCGUACUUUUACACAUUGUUGUGUCUCUGAUACUUACGUGAAAAUAACAAUGGCUAAACGACAAAAAUCUGGGGAUCUUGGGCUUUCGACAAUUUCUGGAAAUGUGGAUCAUAAAGACAAUGUUGAUGCCAAGGAUGUAGAGUUAGAAGAAAAAUCAAACUAUUAUGGCCAGGGAGAAGUUCUGCCACUGACUGAAGAAGAGAAAAUUAAACGUUUUGUACUCAUUGCUUUCCCUGUCGUGUUCUUUAUCAUUGCGGUAAUAUUAGCAGCCGUUUACAACUGACGUGUAAAUACAUUUUAACGGAAGACGCAAAUUGUGCCUCGGAUGCUUGGAAAAACACAAUGGCAGAGGCCUGUGCAAUGUUCUAUUUAGAAAAAAAAAAUCUCUGUGUUUUGAGGGUGUUUUUUUUCUCUCGUUCUUAAUUAGAAAAAAAUAAUGUAUAUCUAUUUUAAGGGGAAUCUUUGCAUUACAAAAUAUUUUUUGUCAUAAUUAUGUCUCGUUAGUAAAUGGUGACAUACUAACUAAAAUGUAUCACAAAUGUAUGUUUAUGAUUCUAAGCUUUUUUUUUACUGUAUUAUAAUAAAAAUCAGAAUUAAACAAGUUUUACGAUUUUUAUAA